rnacentral:ribozyme from 1 species
CUAAACACCUCUCUUGGAGAAGAGGUGACUUCGGUCCUCCGCCGAAAUGGGACUGAGAAUCCCAAAUUCAGAUGACGUGUCUUGUUUGUUCUGCAACAAGCUGAUGGUGGAUUAUCCAGUAAC